ensembl:snRNA U6 U6 spliceosomal RNA
GUGCUCACUUUGGCAGCACAUAUACUAAAAUUGGAACAAUAAGAGAAGAUUAGCAUAGCCUCUGUGCAAGGAUGACACACAAAUUUCUGAAGUAGUCCAUAUUUAA